rnacentral:misc_RNA from 1 species
UUAUUUCCCACAUUUAUUUUAUUCAGACAGUAUUCAGGUAGUAACUGGGUUUGAUGGUCCUGUGGCAGGCACUCGCUAGCGAGAGCCAGCGGCCCCGGGGGGCGGCCUGCCAAGGCAACAAUAGGUACAACAAUCAGGGUGGGAGUUCCGCCCGGAGGCGAGAGCUCAGUAAUGAUCCUUCCGCAGGUUCACCUACGGAAA